rnacentral:rRNA from 1 species
GGGGUACUCGAGUGGCGAACGGGUGAGUAACACGUGGGUGAUCUGCCCUGCACUUUGGGAUAAGCCUGGGAAACUGGGUCUAAUACCGAAUACACCUCGCUGGCCGCAUGGUCUGGUGGGGGAAAGCUUUUGCGGUGUGGGAUGGGCCCGCGGCCUAUCAGCUUGUUGGUGGGGUGAUGGCCUACCAAGGCGACGACGGGUAGCCGGCCUGAGAGGGUGACCGGCCACACUGGGACUGAGAUACGGCCCAGACUCCUACGGGAGGCAGCAGUGGGGAAUAUUGCACAAUGGGCGCAAGCCUGAUGCAGCGACGCCGCGUGGGGGAUGACGGCCUUCGGGUUGUAAACCCCUUUCAGCACAGACGAAGCGCAAGUGACGGUAUGUGCAGAAGAAGGACCGGCCAACUACGUGCCAGCAGCCGCGGUAAUACGUAGGGUCCGAGCGUUGUCCGGAAUUACUGGGCGUAAAGAGCUCGUAGGUGGUUUGUCGCGUUGUUCGUGAAAACUCACAGCUCAACUGUGGGCGUGCGGGCGAUACGGGCAGACUGGAGUACUGCAGGGGAGACUGGAAUUCCUGGUGUAGCGGUGGAAUGCGCAGAUAUCAGGAGGAACACCGGUGGCGAAGGCGGGUCUCUGGGCAGUAACUGACGCUG